rnacentral:rRNA from 1 species
UACGUAGGCAGCGAGCGUUGUUCGGAGUUACUGGGCGUAAAGGGUGUGUAGGCGGUUGUUUAAGUUUGGUGUGAAAUCUCCCGGCUCAACUGGGAGGGUGCGCCGAAUACUGAAUGACUUGGAGUGCGGGAGAGGAGAGUGGAAUUCCUGGUGUAGCGGUGAAAUGCGUAGAUAUUGUCAAGAACUCCGAUUGCGAAGGCAGCUUACUAGACUGUAACUGACGCUGAGGCUCGAAAGUGUGGGGAUCAAACAGG